UCGUUCUCUACUUUAUUAUUAGAAAGCAUUUGGGGUUUUUUCCUGUAACAUAGGUACAGCUGUGAAAUACCAGUAUUAAAUUGUUCUAAGUACAUGUACCGGGAAAUAGAGUUAUGUUUGCUUGCAUUUUUGACUCUUGGAGGAAUUGGGUUUUUUAUUUUGAAGUAUUGUGUUAAACCUGCAAAAACAACUGUAAACGUUUUUUUGUUAAUGUUUUUAGUGUGCAGAAUUAGAUCCCUUUAAAAGUCUUGUUUUCUGAUUCAGCAUAACUUAAUGUCCGCACAUCUUUUAAACAGCUGUUUAAUUAAGGAUUUUGACGACUCUUAACUUUUCUUCAUUAUGCUCAAAGCUGAAAUAUGGUACAAAUAUAGAACGGAAACAGUCUUAAAAUUUUACCAGUAUAACCUGGAGAUAAUUGCAUUAUAUAAAAGUUAGCAUUUUGAGUUUACCUAACUCAAUUUCAAAAAAGGACAUAUGCCAUUUUUAUCCAGAAAAAAACUCAAAUACAAAAAAGUAUGAAUCCAUGAAAAUCACCCAUACUUUCAGAAGUGGGGAAAAUGUAUGCCAAUUAUCCUUACUCUUUUCUAAUUUUCAGAUUUCUAAAAUAAAAAGUAAUGACAUGCAUUGUAGAUUGUUUCUUUAAUGAUAGUGAAAUUAAUUUUACUAUUGACAUUAUUAUACAAUAUAUAUUGCUACAUCAUUUGUGUUAGUAAAAACUGGUAGAAUGCAGAGAUAUCUUCAGCAAAAUGUUAUAUCCACUUUAUAUUCACAAAUUUUGAUGAAACUUUGUCUGAAACUGAUGCAACAAAAAUCCUUCACCCAGCAUUUUGUUACAAUUUACACCAUACAUCAGACAAUAGCUAAUCAUUUGUUGCUUAUAUACUAGUCAGUCGCAUAAGAACUUUUGAUCCACAACUUAAUUUCAACUAUGUCACCACAGCUGCAGUCCGAUAAUUUGAUAUCCUUUUGAUGUCCAUGUAAAAGCACUUGUUUAAUACUGUGUAUUAGUUCAUUUCAUUGUGAGACAGGGCUGGUAUCAUUGUUAUCUAUGUACGUUUUCACUUGAGGAGUGAAAUGGAAGCCAAUUAAAGUUAAAUACCACAUGU
rnacentral:sRNA from 1 species